rnacentral:rRNA from 1 species
UACGUAGGUGGCAAGCGUUGUCCGGAUUUACUGGGCGUAAAGAGCGCGCAGGCGGUCGUUCAAGUCGCGUGUGAAAGCCCCCCGGCUCAACUGGGGAGGGUCACGCGAUACUGAUCGACUCGAAGGCAGGAGAGGGUAGUGGAAUUCCCGGUGUAGUGGUGAAAUGCGUAGAUAUCGGGAGGAACACCAGUGGCGAAGGCGACUACCUGGCCUGUUCUUGACGCUGAGGCGCGAAAGCUAGGGUAGCAAACGGG